UGAAAAACCAAGGAUAUAUGCCUCUCAAGG
rnacentral:piRNA from 1 species